UAUAUAUCGUUUCCGUGUCACGAUUCUUGAAUUUUUUUUUUCUUGCUUCAUCUCGCCGAUUCUCCAUUUCUCCCCUUUUAUCCAAUCUCUCUCUCACUCGCUUUCUAUCUAUCUCUUCAUUAUAUAGUCUACAUAUAGUGUGACCCUCAAUUGAAAUCGCUCAACACUACUUUUCGUUACAUAAUAAUUCAGAAACGCUCGCACAGAAUUUAUAUGGUUGUUUCCUGUGCGAUCUCGAUCUCAAUUUCAGACCUGAAUUCGCGCGUGGAAUAUUAUCACUAUGAUCCACCAUGCUUGUCGAAUGAACUACAAUAUCAUAGGAGAAAGUAUAGUUUCAGAAGACAUCGAACGGUAACAUUCGAAUAAAGUUUCAUAUUUCAUCGCUGAUGAUCUCAUCAUCAUUUCGAUAACAAAUAAACGGCGCUCGAACGAAACGUAAUAAAUGUCCGAAACGAUUUUUAAAAUGAAAAUGAUCAUGAAACACGCAACUUCUAUACUACAACUUUACGAUUUUUUAACGUGAUUUACGUUAUUCGGAAAAUACAAACUAUUCGAGGUUCCACGAAGCAGAUCACAUAGACGAAAGUAGAAAAACGAAAUCAUCACUGGUGUCUUUUCAAAGAUAUUCGAGGAGUUUUGUAUAAAAUCGUGAGUAUAUACGAUUGUUCUAUCUCUUUUAUCCAAUUGUUACAUAAUAACAAUGUACUGACAACAAUAUCAUCGAUUUUUUAGCAAUAUCAAGUACCUCCAAUGUUUCGAUGAUCCAUCUGUACAAUGCCCGUGUGCCGUUUAUCGACCAUUUUGAAAGAUGUCCCGUACGAGCUACCGCGCGUAUCGCAUCUAAUCGAGAGUCCUGUCGAUACAUCGAUUCAGCAAUCUUUCGAUCGAUCGAUAACAAAAACGACUAAUGUAAGAUUUCAGACUGGUCCUUCGAUAAUUCGCGAAAAAGGUAAGGAAAGCGAUCGUUUUUAGAAAGUAGGAUAAAUGCGGUCACCACGGAAGAAAACAACAAUGAUGCGUAAAUUAAACGGAAGAAGAGAGAGAGAAAAAAAACGCGAAAUCAUGGCUAGACGAAUCAUCUUGCUGACGCACCGUUGCCUACUCGAGGACAGAGAAUCGCGUCACCGUGAAAUUCUUUCCACGUAUGCAUCAAACGAGAGGCGCGACUUAAUCGGGUUUAAUCGUCGAUUGCACGGACAACCAGACGGAGUGCGCUCCCACGUUUUUUAAAAGGAAGAAAGGAAAGAAAACAGACGUUGUACAAAAAUAACAAGGUCAUCAAAAAAUGAUCACAUCUCGCAAGUUGUAUGAAUGCAUUCAGAAAACAUGAUUCGACGAGAAUUGACACGGUAUUACGAACUUACGUAAUUGCCCCUGCUACAAGUCAUGCUUUUCUCUUGACGAAAAAAAUGCGUUGUUGCGAAAUCUGUGUCAUUCAUUUUCUACAUAAAUAUCCCUUGUUGUAUCGAUUGUGUUACGUAAACAUUGAUUAACCUAGGUAUCACGGAGAAAUAUUCUCGAUAAAGUAUACAAUUCUGUAAUCCAAAUGGAACAUUUUUAUCAAACCACCGAUCUAAACAAAAUGGUACAAUUCUGUUUCUUUUAAAUUUAAUGUUAAUGUACGAAAGAAUUAAGCUUUAUGAUAAUAGCAAACAAAUUUUUUUUCAAAUAAAUAAAAAACAAAUAAUAAUGCACAAAAAUUUCAUUCAAUAAAACAUAAUUUAUUCUUUGAAUUUUUUUUUUCGUUUUUACAUUUGUAGUGAAUGAUUAUUUAAAGAUAAAUAAAUAAUUCAUAUUAGAAAUAACGCGAAAAUUCGUAUUCAGAGAAAAAAAUAACAUGGAUGAAAAAAUUUUAUACUACAAAUCUAUUAAUUAAUCUAUCAAUUUAUCUCUCAUAAAUAUCUAGCUAUUUUUACUGAUAGAACAAAAUUGGAAAAAUAAUUUCGUAGCAUUACAACAACUCGGUCGAUGUAUAUGCGUGACGAACAAGAAUGUAAUUUCCUCGAGUAGCAAUCGUGAAUUAGAAACGUAUCCGCGUGUAAAUCGUAGCACGAAAUCAAACAUUAGUUAAUGAUCAAGUAUUUUCCAGAUAGAUGAUUAUUUAAUCGAAAAACGACAUUGUAUAGAGUCAGAUAACGGAAUGAAAUCGAAUUUCCGGACGGUAUCGCACGCGUACUAUGCGAUCUUGAUCGAUCGAAAAAACUGCAAGAGAGAGAGAUUCCCUAACGCAACGUCGAGAAAUGGAAAACGUAAUGCAAAGUGAAACGAAACGAACCGCGAAGCAAACACAUUUCGUUCAAGUUACAAAAGGAUCUGCCUUUCUCGAUGAUAGACUUUCCCUCUCUUCCUCGAAUAUCCUUGAACGCGCGACAACAUGGCUAGGAUUACUAUUAAUAAAAUCGUUACGAGCUGCGCGCCGAGCUACAAUCGAUUUCGAUAUGCGAUUUAUUCGCGCAGGCUGUAUCGAACGCGUAUCCUGAUUAGAUUAUCGAUAUUUAUCCUAUCAUCGAAUAUAAUAUAAUAAUAAUAAUAUGAAUUAAUAAACAGUAUAUAUAACUUAUGCGAAAAAGAAUUAUUACAUCACAAAUAUUAUAUUCUUAUAUUAUCUCAUAUUAUCAAUUCUAAUUAUUAUUAACACGUCAUGUAAUUAUUCUCUAAGUCCUAUCGCGAUAUCAUUUUUAUCAACAUUUCUUAAAACAUAUAGAAUUAUAAAUAUCACGUAUAAUAUAUAUAAGUGAUAUAUCCAUUUGUGAAAAAUACUAUUGAUGAUAGGUCAUGUAAGUAAGUAAAUAUAUAUUGAGAAUAUACAUGCUUCUAAUACACUGAUUAUUAAACGAAAAAUAAAAUGAUUGUAAUCACAAAGAAAAUACUCGUGUAAAAGGAUAGAUCCUAUAGCAACGUGACUCACACGUGAGUUUCAUUCACAGCACCCAUUUCAAUCGAAACAGAUGUUGCAUACGUUGAUCACUGCUUAUUUUAACCGGAAACGCAAAAAAUAACAAAAAAAAAAAAUUUCGUUUGUACCAUUUUGCAUAUCGAAGAUUGUUACGCAUCGUUUGUCUACUCAUUUGUUUGCGAUCACAUCUUCGUUAAGAUUAUUACAUAACUACUAAGAUAACGAUGUACAAUCGGCACGUACAACUAUCAUAUUGUCUAUUGCAUUAUA